CCUGUAUGUGUGACCUCACUCAGGGCGGGUCUGAGGUAAGAUGCCAGUCCAGUCUUUGCUGAAACGCUACUGUCAAUCAAACUAUCGUGGGCGGGGCCUGUU